rnacentral:rRNA from 1 species
CACGUAGGGUGCGAGCGUUGUCCGGAAUUAUUGGGCGUAAAGAGCUCGUAGGCGGUGUGUCGCGUCGGCCGUGAAAACCUGCAGCUUAACUGUGGGCGUGCGGUCGAUACGGGCAUCACUGGAGUUCGGCAGGGGAGACUGGAAUUCCUGGUGUAGCGGUGAAAUGCGCAGAUAUCAGGAGGAACACCGGUGGCGAAGGCAGGUCUCUGGGCCACUACUGACGCUGAGAAGCGAAAGCAUGGGGAGCGAACAGG